rnacentral:pre_miRNA from 1 species
UAACUACUCCCUCCGUUCGGAAUUACUCGUCCAAGAAAUAAAUGUAUCUAGAUGUAUUUUACUUGUAGAUACAUCCAUUUUUGUGACAAGUAAUUCCGAACGGAGGAGUACUUC